rnacentral:lncRNA from 1 species
UUUGCUAAUAAGGCCCUGCCAGGCUGGGAGGGAAUUGUCCCUGCCUGCUUCUGGAGAAAGAAGAUAUUGACACCAUCUACGGGCACCAUGGAACUGCUUCAAGUGACCAUUCUUUUUCUUCUGCCCAGUAUUUGCAGCAGUAACAGCACAGGAUUUGAAAUUCCUCAACCAAACUGGCUAUAAUAUAUAAAAUGACUCCUUAUACUAAAGUCCACAAUCUAAAAAUAUCUCAUUACUAUGGAACAUGAUCUUUGAAGAAUUAUCCAUUUGUGAAGGAAAAAUAACUGCAUGGCCCCGUACUUUUGAACAAGACACCUGGGUGUUUUAGAGGCAGCUAAUAAUUCACUUGUUGUUACUACAACAAAACCAUCUAUAACAACACCAAACACAGAAUCAUUACAGAAAAAUGUUGUCACACCAACAACUGGAACAACUCCUAAAGGAACAAUCACCAAUGAAUUACUUAAAAUGUCUCUGAUGUCAACAGCUACUUUUUUAACAAGUAAAGAUGAAGGAUUGAAAGCCACAACCACUGAUGUCAGGAAGAAUGACU